GACAGAGGGUGCAAACGUUGUUCGGAAUUACUGGGCGUAGAGCGCGUGUAGGCUGCUUUGCAAGUCGGAUGUGAAAGCCCCGGGCUCAACCUGGGAAGUGCACUCGAAACUGCAGAGCUCGAGUCCUGGAGAGGAAGGCGGAAUUCUCGGUGUAGAGGUGAAAUUCGUAGAUAUCGAGAGGAACACCGGUGGCGAAGGCGGCCUUCUGGACAGUGACUGACGCUGAGACGCGAAAGCGUGGGGAGCAAACAGG
rnacentral:rRNA from 1 species